GAGUGGACCUAUAGAGGAAAGGAGAGAUGAAUAAGGAAAGGGAAAUGGGGAAACUUUUGUCUCUUCCUAACAUUCCAAAAGCCACUGUAGACUAUUGGAUACAUGGAAAAUACAUUAAACAGUCAAUAGAAAUCUCUAACAGCCAGUUUAUAUAGGUGGGUAUAUUUCCUCCUAAGAGAGGAUGUCUUUUGAACAAUUACUGUGCACUCUCAGCCGUGCACGGGGUACUGGUACAAUGACAAACAGGCUUACCAGCUGCUUCCCAGCCGUUGAAGCCACGUUCCAAGACCAAGAUGUUUUUUAUUUCUGUAUCCUCUUUCAUCUCUUCCAGAUAAUUAGCAAACCUUCGAGCACAAGUUGGACCACGAACCUGGCUCAAAGCGCAAUGAAAAACAAGGGUAUCCUUCCCUUUGACUUGCUGAACGAGCUGAGAGAUCCUAUCAGCAAAGGUAUCACUCGCGUAGUGCAGCGACCCAGCUAUAUGCCCAUCAUAACUCCUCUCAUCGUCCCUCACGUCGAUAAUAGCAAUAUUGGGGCGGCGUUUGAGGGUAAGAAGUUGAGAGCCCGUUACGUACGAGAUGCUCCGAGACAUUAAUCCUUACUUUGUUGGAGGGGAGAGAGACUGAGGCAAACUGGGGCUAGAGCAAACCUUUUCGUCCGCUUCUUUUAAUGGUCGUUGAAUUCGGUAAAAUGCCUUUUUUUUCGUUCAUGAUUAUUUAAUCCCCGCAUAUUUGUCAAUA
rnacentral:misc_RNA from 1 species